rnacentral:pre_miRNA from 1 species
AGUAAAAUUUCUGGAUUAUAUGGUAACUCUGUUUAACAUUUUGAGAAACUAUCAAAUUAUUUUUCAAAACAGGUGUACCACUUUAAAUUCCCUCCUGCAAU